rnacentral:antisense_RNA from 1 species
UAUUAUAUUAAACGUACAAUCUUUUAAUUUACACAUGUGUACAUUUACACAUGUGUAAAUGUACA